rnacentral:misc_RNA from 1 species
GUUACCACUACAUAUAUCUGACCUCGGGUCAAGUCAGGUUAGGUGCAAGAUCAGCUUGGAAGUUGGGGCACAGAAUUUAUUUUGAAGAAAUAUUGUCAGUCGCUAAUAUCAAACAUGGCAGGUGCGCUGAAAAAGACAACGGGAUUAACUGGUCUCGCAGUGGUAAAGUUGGCUCAUCGCGAAUUGGAUGUAGCGUAUGAUAAACUUCUACGCAUUUUGAAUAACAUGCCACAAGAUUACGCUUACAGAACGCAUACGGAGAAAUUGGUGAAGGAAAGACAAAACAUCGUACAGCAGAAUCCAACGGUCGAAGCCGUAGAAGAAAAGAUAGGCUGUGGUCAAAUCGAAGAGCUAAUAAUUCAAGCGAACAACGAGAUAUCUUUGGCUAAGGAUAUGUUAAAAUGGAAACCGUGGGAAAACUUGGUGGAAGAACCUCCGGCGCAUCAGUGGACUUGGCCUCCGCAUAAAUAAAUCUAAUCAUUUGGCCGACAUUUGUACAUAGUGCUCAACUUUCGUCGUCUUAUGCAAUGCGAGAUGGAGGACGAGCCGGGUUUCUCGUAGCGGAAAGGCGAAGAUGGGCAACAACGGAAGCAGCUCUCGGGAUCAACAAGCCGCGUCCGUGUGCUCGAACGGACUGGCAGCGGCGUCGGAAGCGAAUCGAGGCUGGUCGCAAUCGUUCCCGCGAGAGCUCGCGCGGCAUCACCACGGAUCGCAAGUUACGCCAGUGGUGGCGGCUCGCAAAGUCCUACCUGAGCCACCGAAUCAGAGAUUACGCGCGACCGACAAUGGAUCGAUCAUACACAACGGCGGGAC